GCCGGAGUGGCGGAACAGGCAGACGCCAGGGACUUAAAAUCCCUUGGGCCGCAAGGCCCGUACCGGUUCGAGUCCGGUCUCCGGCACCA
rnacentral:tRNA from 1 species